rnacentral:rRNA from 1 species
UGGCUCAGGAUGAACGCUGGCGGCGUGCCUAAUACAUGCAAGUCGAACGAGUUCUGAUUAUUGAAAGGUGCUUGCAUCUUGAUUUAAUUUUGAACGAGUGGCGGACGGGUGAGUAACACGUGGGUAACCUGCCCUUAAGUGGGGGAUAACAUUUGGAAACAGAUGCUAAUACCGCAUAAAUCCAAGAACCGCAUGGUUCUUGGCUGAAAGAUGGCGUAAGCUAUCGCUUUUGGAUGGACCCGCGGCGUAUUAGCUAGUUGGUGAGGUAACGGCUCACCAAGGCAAUGAUACGUAGCCGAACUGAGAGGUUGAUCGGCCACAUUGGGACUGAGACACGGCCCAAACUCCUACGGGAGGCAGCAGUAGGGAAUCUUCCACAAUGGACGCAAGUCUGAUGGAGCAACGCCGCGUGAGUGAAGAAGGCUUUCGGGUCGUAAAACUCUGUUGUUGGAGAAGAAUGGUCGGCAGAGUAACUGUUGUCGGCGUGACGGUAUCCAACCAGAAAGCCACGGCUAACUACGUGCCAGCAGCCGCGGUAAUACGUAGGUGGCAAGCGUUAUCCGGAUUUAUUGGGCGUAAAGCGAGCGCAGGCGGUUUUUUAAGUCUGAUGUGAAAGCCCUCGGCUUAACCGAGGAAGUGCAUCGGAAACUGGGAAACUUGAGUGCAGAAGAGGACAGUGGAACUCCAUGUGUAGCGGUGAAAUGCGUAGAUAUAUGGAAGAACACCAGUGGCGAAGGCGGCUGUCUGGUCUGUAACUGACGCUGAGGCUCGAAAGCAUGGGUAGCGAACAGGAUUAGAUACCCUGGUAGUCCAUGCCGUAAACGAUGAAUGCUAGGUGUUGGAGGGUUUCCGCCCUUCAGUGCCGCAGCUAACGCAUUAAGCAUUCCGCCUGGGGAGUACGACCGCAAGGUUGAAACUCAAAGGAAUUGACGGGGGCCCGCACAAGCGGUGGAGCAUGUGGUUUAAUUCGAAGCAACGCGAAGAACCUUACCAGGUCUUGACAUCUUUUGAUCACCUGAGAGAUCAGGUUUCCCCUUCGGGGGCAAAAUGACAGGUGGUGCAUGGUUGUCGUCAGCUCGUGUCGUGAGAUGUUGGGUUAAGUCCCGCAACGAGCGCAACCCUUAUGACUAGUUGCCAGCAUUUAGUUGGGCACUCUAGUAAGACUGCCGGUGACAAACCGGAGGAAGGUGGGGAUGACGUCAAAUCAUCAUGCCCCUUAUGACCUGGGCUACACACGUGCUACAAUGGAUGGUACAACGAGUUGCGAGACCGCGAGGUCAAGCUAAUCUCUUAAAGCCAUUCUCAGUUCGGACUGUAGGCUGCAACUCGCCUACACGAAGUCGGAAUCGCUAGUAAUCGCGGAUCAGCACGCCGCGGUGAAUACGUUCCCGGGCCUUGUACACACCGCCCGUCACACCAUGAGAGUUUGUAACACCCGAAGCCGGUGGCGUAACCCUUUUAGGGAGCGAGCCGUCUAAGGUGGGACAAAUG